rnacentral:tRNA from 1 species
GCCGGGAUGGUGGAAUUUGGUAGACACCUACGUUUGAGGGGCGUAUGGGGCGACCCGUGCGGGUUCAAGUCCCGCUCCCGGCA